rnacentral:rRNA from 1 species
AACGCGAAGAACCUUACCUGCCCUUGACAUGCUAGGAAGUCUGCAGAGAUGCGGAUGUGCCUUCGGGAACCUAGACACAGGUGCUGCAUGGCUGUCGUCAGCUCGUGUCGUGAGAUGUUGGGUUAAGUCCCGCAACGAGCGCAACCCUCGCCCUUAGUUGCCAUCAUUCAGUUGGGCACUCUAGGGGGACUGCCGGUGAUAAGCCGCGAGGAAGGUGGGGAUGACGUCAAGUCCUCAUGGCCCUUACGGGCUGGGCUACACACGUGCUACAAUGGCGGUGACAAUGGGAUGCUGAGGGGCGACCCCGAGCAAAUCUCAAAAAGCCGUCUCAGUUCGGAUUGCACUCUGCAACUCGAGUGCAUGAAGGUGGAAUCGCUAGUAAUCGUAGAUCAGAACGCUACGGUGAAUACGUUCCCGGGCCUUGUACACACCGAGUAUA